rnacentral:rRNA from 1 species
UACGGAGGAUGCAAGCGUUAUCCGGAUUUAUUGGGUUUAAAGGGUGCGCAGGUUGUUUGAUAAGUCAGUGGUGAAAGUCUGUCGCUUAACGGUAGGAUUGCCAUUGAUACUGUUAGACUUGAAUAUGGAUGAGGUAGGCGGAAUGUGUAGUGUAGCGGUGAAAUGCAUAGAUAUUACACAGAACACCGAUUGCGAAGGCAGCUUACUAAUCCAUCAUUGACGCUGAGGCACGAAAGCGUGGGGAUCAAA